UAGUGGGAAAAGUUGAGAUCAACAGUCAUUUGAGCCGACCGUAGCAGAUGCGUUCGUAAAUCUUUGCACAAUGUUUAUGAGGCGCCAACAGGCUCUGAUUAUAAUCGUUUUAUGCUCAUUGCCGCGCGGCACUCGAACAUGCUCUUUGCACACCUCAGUGAAGAUGGGUCUCUCUCUCACACAUCUGUGCAUGGGGCAAGGUUCUCCAAAAAGUGUUUAUGACAGUUUUGUGAAUAGGCAAGAGAGACCGGCACAAUUUGCUUUGCGAAACACACUAACGCUCUCUCAAUAAAACGCGCGGAAGAUCAUUGAGAGAUUGAGAGAGUGCAGUCAGACAAUGAAGGAGUGAGACCUCCAUAUAAUCAGCUUCUCAUGUUCGAAUUGAGCAAACUAUUGAGAAUGCGCGAGCACCAUUGGUGACGGUUUGAAUGGAAUGAAUGUGG
ensembl:ncRNA Y42H9B.8 ncRNA